rnacentral:rRNA from 1 species
UACGGGGGGGGCAAGCGUUGUCCGGAUUUAUUGGGCGUAAAGAGCGUGUAGGCGGCCAGACAGGUCAGCUGUGAAAACUCGAGGCUCAACCUCGAGACGUCGGUUGAAACCGUCUGGCUAGAGUCCGGAAGAGGAGAGUGGAAUUCCCGGUGUAGCGGUGAAAUGCGCAGAUAUCAGGAAGAACACCAAUGGCGAAAGCAGCUUUCUGGGACGGUACUGACGCUGAGACGCGAAAGCGUGGGGAGCGAACAGG